rnacentral:rRNA from 1 species
CGGACCUUGCGCGAUUAAAUGAGCCGAUGUCGGAUUAGCUAGUUGGCGGGGUAAAGGCCCACCAAGGCGACGAUCCGUAGCUGGUCUGAGAGGAUGAUCAGCCACACUGGAACUGAGACACGGUCCAGACUCCUACGGGAGGCAGCAGUGGGGAAUAUUGGACAAUGGGCGCAAGCCUGAUCCAGCCAUGCCGCGUGGGUGAAGAAGGCCUUCGGGUUGUAAAGCCCUUUUGUUGGGAAAGAAAAGCACGGGGCUAAUACCCUUGUGUUCUGACGGUACCCAAAGAAUAAGCACCGGCUAACUUCGUGCCAGCAGCCGCGGUAAUACGAAGGGUGCAAGCGUUACUCGGAAUUACUGGGCGUAAAGCGUGCGUAGGUGGUGAUUUAAGUCCGUUG